rnacentral:rRNA from 1 species
AAACCAACAGGGAUUGCCUUAGUAACGGCGAGUGAAGCGGCAACAGCUCAAAUUUGAAAUCUGGCCCUCGGGUCCGAAUUGUAAUUUGUAGAGGAUGCUUUUGGUGCGGUGCCUUCUGAGUUCCUUGGAACAGGACGCCUUAGAGGGUGAGAGCCCCGUACAGUUGGACACCAAGCCUUUGUAAAGCUCCUUCGACGAGUCGAGUAGUUUGGGAAUGCUGCUCUAAAUGGGAGGUAAAUUUCUUCUAAAGCUAAAUAUUGGCCAGAGACCGAUAGCGCACAAGUAGAGUGAUCGAAAGAUGAAAAGUACUUUGAAAAGAGGGUUAAAUAGCACGUGAAAUUGUUGAAAGGGAAGCGUUUAUGACCAGACCUUCGUCGGGCGGAUCAUCCGGUGUUCUUCACCGGUGCACUUCGCCCGGCUUAGGCCAGCAUCGGUUUUCGUAGGGGGAUAAAGGCCUAGGGAAUGUGGCUCCCUCCGGGGAGUGUUAUAGCCCUGGGCGUAAUACCUUUAUGGGGACCGAGGUUCGCGCUCCGGCAAGGAUGCUGGCGUAAUGGUCAUCAACGAC